AAAUAAAUAAAAUCCCAGGUUGCUCUAACCUUAAAAUAUUUGUGCGGAAACAUAAACAAAUAAUAAGUCUUAAGUAACAUCAAGUCUAAAUAUCAUUACAUAACCAUAUAAAUAAUCAGUCUUCAUUACUUGCUAAUCUUGCCCUUGCCUUUACUAGUGGAAGGCUCGUCUGCUCUUUCGUUCUUAACUGCAAUGUUAUUAUUACGCAAGAGUGAGCACGAUUGCCCACAAGUAUAACAAUAUAACAAUUGAAUAAUAACAUGCGAAUGAAUUAACAACUUAUGAUAUAAAAGCUCGACUUUUGAAUCAAGAAUGAAUAACAAGAAUCAAAAGAAAUUCUGAGGGUCUUAAGACCUUGAACUAUGUCCUAGGUUGUCAAGUGUUUAUUCUUGAAACCUUUAACAGUAAUAAGACUAUGGACUCUUCUUCUCGUACUUAGGGGGGUCAGCCCUUAGUACCAUACCGUGCAUAAUAUCUUAACGUUAACGUAUAAGUAAUCCCCUUUACAGGGUUGUUCAUCUCAGUUUGACAUUCGAGUCUGCACCAAAGGAAGUUUGGUUUGGAUAAAUCAUCAAGGGUUCUGAAAUUUAGAACGCUCAUCAACUAUGGACUAGUCGAAUCAUUAUGGGUUUGCUAGUCUAACAAGGUUUAACAAUAACUGAUAAUUUAAUUUGAAUAACAAUCUCAAGAGGUAUACAAUAGAAUAAGUAUUGUAUAACAGCAUCAUGCUUGAAAGAUUUAUAAAAAAACAGACUUGGUCAAUAAUAAUGAGAACUUACUCAAUGUAGAAAGGUGAAUUAAUCAACUUAUAUAACGAUAACAAGUAGGGUUAGGAAACUUGCCUCGUGCGUAGAUUACACUUUUAAUUAAACUCGUUCCUUGAUUUAAAUCCUACAUAUCAUUUACGUUCACAAUACCAGUUAAUUAUAACGUACUAAACAUCACAAGUUCAUUUUUUUUGUUUAACUCGAAUUCAUGACUAUACUUAGUCAAAUUACCAUACUUGUUUUCAUAUAAUAUUAUACUACACGAACAACAAGUUAAUUACAUAAUCAAUGAUUCAAUUAACAUAUAGAUGUCUUCUUAACUUGAUAAAAACUUAUUUUAAUAUCUCAUCAUAUGACUAAUACAUUCUUAUGUUCAUUUGAUUAGGUUACCAUUAUAGUCCCUAACAUGAAACCAUUAAAAUGCUCAUUCUUGGACAAACUGCAGAGUGGCGCUGCGGCGCCACCUUGUAGUUCAUUCUCGGCGCUGCGGCGCGGCCAACGCUGCGGCCUGGACAAAGGUGCUGCGGCAUGGCUGGCGCUGUGGCGCAGGUAAUGCCUGCAGUCGGCGUCGCGGUGCGGCGAAGCAGUAGCUGAACUGCAAUUUGUUAAAAAUUGCAGAACAUAGCCAAAACACCCAAUUAACAUGUUUUUGCACGAAUAUAGAUAUACCCAAACAUUGUAAUGCACAAAUAACUAAUACUAAACCCUUCUAGGAUGUUUUUAACAAGUUUAAACACAUAAUUUUCAGAAAUCAAACAUGAAAUUUCACUGUUCUUGAAGUUCUUGAAGGUUUUGAACAAAAACAUAAAAUCUAACACUACGGAUUCAUUAUAAGACCAAAUCCAACCAUUCAAGUUUGGUUUUGUUUGUUUUAGCAUGCAUAAUCAUAUACAAGUGGAAAUUUUACAGAACAGUUUAUGUUUGACAUAUUAAAAUCACGUAUAAGGCCAUAUGGCCAUAUAACAUACUCUGUAAAUUUUUAAGCCAUAACAUACGUUAUAAUAUUAUGAAACUGAUGAUAUGGAAUCAUAUACAAUAUAUAUUAAAACAUGCUAUGAUGUUAUAUUAAUACAUAUAAUCACAUAAUCGUACCCUUAAUAAUUAACAGAGACUUUAUAGAGUGAAUGAAAGCCAUUUUCAUAAAAAAAACUAAUAACGUAAAAUAGGAAUUGGUUUGAAGAGAUUACCCAAGCGUAGAGUGAAUUAAUAGGAGAUGAAUUCCUUCUCAACCCUUCUUCAAUCACAAUUCACUUAACAAUUCUCCCUAAAAAAUUCUCAAUCUCUCUCUGUAUCGCUCUCUGUUUCUACUUUUCUAGACUUAGGCAAUAAUAAAAAUAAAAGAGAAGACGUAUACUAAAUAAGAAAGACUGACGCAUUGUGGAGGUCAGUUACCUAUCAUGGGUAACUGCUCCCAACCUCCCUUGGUGCCAUGUUUGGCUAGUUAGAAUAGGUUUUAAAAACUAUUAAUUUAAUAAAACCUUAUCAUAUAGUUUAAAUAAUGUCACACUCCUUUAUAAAAUAAAUCAAUAUCUUAUUUAAUUUACUUUAAAUAAAAUAUAUUAAUUUCUCAUUAAUUCACAUAGUCACAUAAUUAAAUUUCUCCUUUAAUAAUAAUGUUAAAUUAUUAAAUCUCUAAUUAAUAAUUAAAUUAAUUAAAAUACUAUUAGGCUUAUUCAAUAUUUCUUUUAAUAUAAUAAGCUGACAUAAUUACAUACUUUGAAUAAUAAAAAUUCUCCACAUUAAUUUAAUAAAUAUAACACAUAUAAUUAAAUUAAUCUACCACAACUUCAUCAAUUAAUUAUUAAAUCUAAUAAUUAAUUCAUCGAAAAAAUAUUUAUUCAAUCCAAUAAAUAUUAAAAAUUAAAUUACAAAAUCUCAGUUGUCACAUCUUUCUCCUCUUAAAAGGAUUCUGUCCUCAGAAUCACAACUCAACAAUUUGUCCCGUUACAUUCUCCCCCCUUACAAAGAUUCUGUCCCCAGAAUCGCUUAUAACAAACUAGGUAAACAAAUAAGGAUAGUUUUUCAUCAUAUUCUCUUCGAGUUCCCACGUAGCUUCUUCAACGUUGUGGUUCCUCCAAAUUACCUUAACAGAAGGUAUUACUUUAUUUCUUAGAACUUGUUCUUUUUGGUCGACAAUUUGAACAGGAAUUUCUUCGUAAGAUAAGUCUUCGUCGAAAUGUAGGGGUUCAUAUUCAAUCACGUGCUUGUAAUCGGGUUUGUAGGGUCGUAGGACUGAGACAUGGAAAAUGUUGUGGACAUUCUCUAGAGCUGGAGGUAAGACUACCUCAUAAGAAACUUCUCCGACCCUUCAUAGAACUUCAAAGGGUCCAAUGAAUCUUGGGCUUAAUUUCCCUUUCUUUCUGAAUCUGAUCUUUCCUUUCCAGGGAGAGACCUAAAACACAUAACUACCUGGCUCGAACUCAACAUUUUUACGGUGUGGAUCGAUGUAUUUCUUCUGCCUGUCUUGAGCUGCUGUCAAUCUUGUUCGGAUCACUUUGACUAUUUCUGCUGUUUGUUGUACCAAUUCCGGGCCUAGUAAUUGUCUUUCGCCAACUUCAUCCUAGUAUAGCGGAGUUCUGCACUUUCUGUCGUAUAACGCUUCAUAAGGCGGCAUGCCAAUACUGGCGUGGUAAUUGUUGUUGUAAUUGAACUCUAUGAGCGGUAGAUGGUCAUUCCAAUUUCCUUUAAAGUCCAUUAUACAAGCUCUUAACAUAUCUUCUAAUGUCUGAAUUGUUCUUUCACUCUGUCCAUCUGUUUGAGGGUGAUAUGCCAUGCUCAUUCACAACUGUGUACCCAUGCAUUCUUGUAGACAUUUCCAGAAGUUCGACGUAAAACGUGGAUCUCUAUCAGAAACAAUUGACACCGGAACUCCGUGCCUUGAAACAAUUUCUUUCACAUAUAACCUGGCCAACUGAUCUAAGUUGAAUUUGAUUUUGAUCGAAAGGAAGUGUGCGGAUUUCGUCAAUCGGUCAACAAUAACCCAUACUACAUCGUAGCCUUUCUGAGUUAUCGGUAGGCCAACCACGAAAUCCAUCGUAAUAUGUUCCCAUUUCCAUUCUGGAAUCUCUAAAGGUUGUAGUAACCCAUUCGGCCUCUGAUGUUCUGCUUUAACUUUCUGACAUGUCAGGCAUUUGGCAACACAUUCUGCAACCUCUCGUUUCAAAUUUGUCCACCAAAAAUGUUGUCAAAGAUCUUGAUACAUCUUGGUGCUACCAGGGUGAAUCGAAUAUCUUGAGUUGUGAGCCUCACUCAGAAUUUCUUCCUUAAUCUCUGUUACUGGCGGUACCCAAAUUCUAUUCUCAAAUCUCAGUAUUCCUUCCUUAUCCAUCUUGAAUCUUGAUUCGGUUCCUUCAGAUAUCUUCUUUUUCAUCGAUUGACAUUCAUCAUCAUGAAGUUGAGCCUCCUUAACCUUGUCUAGUAGAGUUGUACCAGAUUGCAUCUGAAAUAGCUUCUCAUCGACAUCCAUAGGACACUUUACUUCUAAUUCCAGCUUCCCACGGUCGGUCACCGCUAAGCAGUUCAAGGAGCUGGGACCACCGGAGUUUUUGGGAAAGCCAGAACCACCUAAGGCAGAGACGUGGUUAAAGCAGAUCACAAAGAUAUUUGAUGUCUUGGGAUGCUCCGAGGAGCAAAAGGUUCCCUUUGCCACCUUUAUGUUACGUGAAGAGGCAGAUUAUUGGAGGGAAUCUGUAAAAUGUACCUAGCCUAACGAACUCAAGAUGUGUUGGGAGAAGUUCCAAGAACUGUUCAAUGACAAGUACUUUUCUGAAAGUAUUUUUCACAUGAAGGAGGUGGAGUUCAUCAAGUUAGAGCAAAAUAAUAUGACCGUGUCGCAAUACGAGGCUAAAUUUGCGGAGUUAUCCCGGUUUGCAUCCCAUUUGGUCGAUAAUGAGGAGCGAAUGACGCGAAUGUUUCUAAGAGGUUUGAAACCCAAUAUACGUCAAUACCUCAUUUCUCACAAACUUUGUUUAUAUUCAGAUGUUGUGAAUAGGGCUUAGUUAUUGGAGCGCAAUAAUGAGUUAGCACAACCAAAAGGCAACGACCAAAAACACGAUAAUAAUCGUACCGGUGGCAACGACUAUUGGAACAAUGAUAACCAUCGUGGGGGAAAUUAUCAUGCCAAGAAUGGUAACCACUUUGAUGGUAAUCAUGGCCAAGAUAAUAGAAGUGGAAAUUUCAAGAAGAGAAGGUUCAAUAAUGAUGGAAAGAUAGCAGCACCAGCACCCGUUUUAAAGGAAAGAGAACGACCGCCGGUCAUAUAUUUUAAAUGCGGAGGGGAGGGACAUAUCAGUUCAAAUUACGUGAUGCAGUCCAAAGCAUGUUAUAAUUGUGGAAAAGAAGGUCACCUAGCCCGAUUUUGUCGUGCACCAAAGUCAAGUCCAGCUGGGACGGUGGCACCAAAGGCGAAUACGUACAAAACAAAGUCGAUGGUUUCAGGAAGAGCGUUUUUCAUGACUUUUCAAAAAGCUAGUAACCCGAACGAAGUUAGCACGGGUUAGUUAAUUAUAAAUUCUUGCGAAGUCUAUACCUUAUUAGAUACCGGUUCUACCCAUUAUUUUCUCUCUCUUGCUUGCGCUCAACAUUUAAAUUUGACCCCAGAGAAGUUAGACUUUGACUUCUUGGUUGAAAUUUCGUUAGUAGAAACCUUCAUUUCAUGUGUUAUCCAAGUCUUGGAUGAGAGUCAUAGUUUUUAAAUGAUAUUUCUAUCGUUAAUAAAUUUCCUGACGUAUUCUCGAAGAACUUCCUAGCCUACCCCAGAGUAUGAAAUCGAAUUUUGUAUUGACCCCAGUACAAAACCCAUUUCUUAAACCCUCAAAUAUUUCUUCAACCAAAACGAACGUAUAAUGAGCCAAAGAUGUUGGCUCGAGCUGUUGAAGACUACAACUAUACCAUUCAAUAUCAUUGUAGAAGAGCGAACGUGGUAGCUGACGCGUUGAGUAGAAGAUCGUAUGCGUUUAUGAGUGCGAUGUUGUUAACAUAAAAACCCAUUUCGUAUAACUUAUAAAUGAUGAAGAUAGAGUUAAAGACUCUAGGAACCCACGUGAAGAUAGCGAAUAUACGAUUAGAAUUGACUUUAAUCGAUAAUGUUAAAGGCGCUCAAGCUUCAGACCCGGAGCUAAUGAAAACGAAGAAGAAGGUUCAAAAAGGCGUUAUUCUAGAAGCAAGAGUCGAUGAAGAGAGAAAAUCUCAACCCUCGAUUUAAUUGGCCCAUUUGAAAUCCUCGAUUGAGUAGGAAUUGUGGCCUAUAGACUCGUUUAAUCGCCAAGUAUGUCGCGUGUUCAUAACAUUUUUAUUAUGUAUCGAUGUUACGUAAAUAUGUGGACGACCCGAACCACAUUAUUGAAUUAAAACUAUACGAGAUAACAGAAGAUUUAACGUAUGAGGAGAUACGUGUUAAAAUCUUGGAUAAGAAGGAUCGUAUUCAACACUCAAAGGUUAUACCUCAAGAGUUAGAAUCUGAAAUGAAGUCAAGGUAUCCUCAUCUGUUCGGCAUACCAGGUAUCCUCAUAAGGAGGGGAGAUUGUAAGACCCCAAAUUUUAUGAAUAAAGAUUUAAAUUUCUCAAAAUAUUUUUUGGAAUAUUAUGGUGUGGAUUUGAUAUAAUGUUAUAGUUGUGGGUAAUAUUUAUAAAUUUUGAAAAGUAAGCAAGUUGUUAUAUAAUAUUCGAUUGGUUGGGGAAUAUUCGUUUUAAGGGGAAUAUUCGUACGACGACAUAAUCAUUGGUGGAUCCCACAACGGAUGUAUUGUCGUAGUAAGAAAACGACAGAAUUAUCUUUUUAUAACGGCGAAAGUGUUACCGUUAAAACUGUUGAACUACCAGGUAGUAAAAGUACAAUAAUACGCGUGGUUGCAUAAUAGCACAUGGUAUUGAUUAUUGAUGCUUACGUGAGAAAUCACUCAGUUAUACUCAAUUAUUGCUACAGUAAUUGCUGCAUCAUAUCUCUCAUAUUAUUGAUUCAAUUAUUGUCACAGUAUCAUCUGCAUAAUAUGUUAUAUUAUUAAAUCAAUAAUUGAGACGACAAAGUUAUUCAUAUUAUUAUUUGCAAUAUUGACAAUGUCUAGAAGUUCUGUCAAGGAGAGGUUUGGUCACCUAAUUGCGCGCCAAUAAGGAGAAAUCCUUAUCGGAAAGCCCCCUCUUUCCUGGGAACGACCUGGUUGUUAAAUAUUGUGAGUUAUAAUAUUAAUGAUGAAUAAGUUCGUGUUGAUUAAAGAUGAAAUUGAUAGUUCCAUUGUGUUGGAAUUAUUAGUGUUAGUGGAAAUCGACAUUUAUUUCGAUAUUAAUUGAUGUCUGGAAGUUAUACUGACCAGUUGGGUAAUUAACCGGAUAAAUGAGCAAUUAAUUGCUAUUAAUUCACAUGAUUAUAACUAUUUGUUAACAAGUGUGUACUAUUGAUUCACAUUCAUGUACUAUUAGGGGAGUUGGUGCAAGAUUGAUAAUACUUGUAUGACUAAGUUAAAAAUAAAGAUAUAGAUGGAGGUACUAUACUGUAAUUCGUAUUUUCACAUGUCUAGAACUAUUGAUUCACAUGAUUUACUAUUAGGGGAGAUGGUGCAAGUUUGAGAAUACUUGCAGGACUAAUUUAAAAAUGAAGAAAAAGAGGAAGGUAUUAUACUUUAAUAUUUCGAGCCCCAAAAUGUGCAAUUAUUGAAACUAUAUUUUCCUAUAAAUAGAAGCUCAUUCUUCCUUCAUUUCUCACCAAUUCACUAAAGCUAUAGAGCAAUUAUUAUUAAGAGAAAUUAUAGAGAGAAAGAAGAAGAGAAGUCUGCUACCUCACUACUCCAGUAUCCAGUAUUUUUCUGAGGUAAGGGGUAUUAGUCUUUCGUAUUCAUAAAGAGAGCUAUUAUUGUUCCAUUAUUUAUUAUUAUGUUGGAAUAACCUUUCUAUGCGAAGUACUGCAUACAUGGUGAAAUUCUUCUGUUAUUCCAUUCUUUAUUAUUCUGUUGGAAUAACCUGUCUGUGCGGUCUAUCACAUGCCUGGUGAAUUCUGUUGUUAUUCCAUUUUUUAUUAUUAUGUUGGAAUAACCUGUCUAUGCAAAGUAUCGCAUACAUGGUGAAAUUCUUCUGUUAUUCCAUUCUUUAUUAUUCUGUUGGAAUAACCUGUCUGUGCGGUCUAUCGCAUGCCUGGUAAAUUCUGUUGUUAUUCCAUUCUUUAUUAUUCUAUUGGAAUAACCUAUCUGUGCGGUCUAUUGCAUGCCUGAUGAAUUCUAUUAUUAUUCCAUUCUUUAUUAUACUGUUGGAAUAUCCUGUCUGUGCGGAUUACGCAUGACCUGGUUCCAUUCUUUAUUAUUCUGUUGAAAUAUCCUGUCUAUGCGGAUUACGCAUGACCUGGUUCCAUUCUUUAUUAUUCUGUUGGGAAUAACCUGUCUGUGCGGUCUAUCUCAUGCAUGGUGAAUUCCUCUAUUAUUCCAUUCUUUAUUAUUCUGUUGGAAUAACCUGUCUAUGUGGAUUACCGCAUGCAUGGUGAAUGAUCCUUUGUAUUCAUUCCUUAUUAAAUUAUGGAAAUUAUCUGUCUAUGUUGAUUACCGCAUGGCGGGUGAAAAUCCAUUUGCAGUUUCGUAUAUUCUAUUAUACUUGUCUGAGAUAUCAUUUCUUUUGUACUCGUCAUGGAAUAUCAUUUUCUUUGGUAUUAUUUUUACGAGUUACUAUUCACGAAUUACUAUUCACCCAAAAAAUAUAUUUCUUUUAUGUCCAAACUAUUUUUGGUACAUGAAUAUUAUUCUUCAAUUUCACUCCAAGCAGUAUCAUGUUGACAAUUUGGACGUUAUUGAUUUCUAGAUAAAUUAAAUUAUAAAUCUUUAAAAUUUAUUCUUGAACUUGUUUUAUUGAAUUAUUAUGUAAUUGUCAUCAUCCUCAUGCUUAUAUUCUGAUGAAAGUCAUCUUUGGCUUACGUGCAUAGAUGGACUUGGUAUGAUUAUGACCAGGGAUUAUUUGGUAUAAUCAUGAUCGUAAUGUGACGAAUGAUGUGGUGAAAGUCCUUAGUGGCCUGUAGUGCAUUGAUGGACAGUUUUUGGCAUGAUUAUGACCAGGGGUUAUUCGGUAUAGUCAUGACCAUUGAUGAUUUAAUGAAUAUCCUUGGCCGUGGUGCAGGGAUGAUUCGAUGAUGUGGUUUAUUUUUUUUUAGCUGAGUCUCAGCGAUAAAGUUGAUGAAUUUUUUUUUAAAUCAUAGAAGAUAGUAGAUUUUAUGCUCUACUUGACUCUUCUAAUGGAUUGCUUAUUUCCGCUGCAUUUGUUGAUCUAAAACUUGUUGUCUAUUGUAUUCUAUCAGUUGUUAUACUGUUGAAGGCUAAGGAUAAUUUAUUCUGCAUUAUCUUAGUCAUAAUAUUUUUUACUGGGCUAGUUGAGCUCACCCUUUCUUUCACUGUUCUCUUCAGGAAAUGAGAAUAUAUAGCUGGGACUAGUAGAGAAAUGGAGUGAUGGUCCGAGAGGGUGGCUAUAGUAGUCUUCACUAUUUUUAUUAAAUAGUGUGAUGAUAAUUGUAAUGAGGACACCAUUGAGUGUGGAUAUUGUCUAUAUGACAAUAUUCUUGUUUAAACUCUCAGCUAUGUUUUAUCGUAUUUUACACGACUGUUGUAUAAUUAAGUUAUAUUUGAAUUUAUGUACCAUGUAUCUGGCGACUCAAGAUGGGUGAUGUAUACCUGUUUUGGGGUGAUGUAUACCUGUUUUGCCCAAAGGGUGGUAGAGUUUGAGCGGAAGCUUGCAGUGGCCAAUUAGGAGAAGGAGACCUUAUUUGACCCGACAUACCCAUUCUCCUAGAGAUCGAUCGGGUCUGGACUGACCCAAAUAAAAGGGCUCCACACAUGGAGAGUUAUGAUGGAACCAAGGACCUGUAUGAUCAUAACCAGGUAUAUGACCGUUUGAUGAAAUAUUACGAUUAUUCGGAUGUAACCAAGUGUCAGAUGUUCAUCACAACCUUGGGGAAAGAAGCCAGAUAAUGGAUGACGUCGUUGGUCCUAAACUCAAUCUUGUCGUGGAAGGAGCUCUGUGACAAGUUUUAUUGUCGUUUUGGGAGCAACAAAACGAGGGGGAAACUGACCACUUCCCUGAUGCAAAUACGACGAUAUUCCAAUGAGACGCUGAGCCAUUAUGUAAAAAGAUAAUGAGAGGCGAUCGAAGCAUUGAUGGACUUGAAUGGUCCUCAAGCCCUCAAAUACUUCACCAUGGGGUUGGAUGUGGUAAGAUAAAAAAUGGUGAAUGAUAUAAUGUUCAACACCCUGAAAGAUCUGGCGGAAGCGUAUGAUAGAACAAAAGGCUUCAUUGUAAUUAAGGAGACUAUGGAUAGUUUGAAGCUAAACACGACAGAGAAGGGAUAGGAAUAACCAUCCCAGGUCGGAUAAUAACAACCAAUCGAAGAAGAAUUUCAGUGGGGUUUCAGGAGGUGGUCGAUCGACCUUCCCGAACCGAGGAAUCAACAAGGUGUAUACCCCACUUAACAUGGAUCGGGCACCAAUACUGGAGCAGAUAAGAGAUAAACCUAAUUUGAGCCUUGCUCGAAAAACACUCGUCCAAAGAGGGGGAACCAUAAUAAAUAUCAUAAUUACCACCAGACUGUUGGACACUCCACUGCAGUAUGUAGGAAUUUGAAGAAUUUGAUUGAGAAGAACGUAUACAGUGAAGAGUUGGUCUAGUAAGUUGUUGGGAAAGAGGGUUCCGGAAGAAGGCAGAAUAACAACAAACAGGACCAGAACCCUUAGUCGCAACCCGAACAAACGCAAGCAGCUCGACAAGUGGCCCAAGCCAUAGUCCACGUGGAGGAAGUCUCCCCACGUAGGAAUCUAUUUUGGGCAGUUGGAAAAAUUUAAGGAAUCUAUGAUUCAUAAUUGUAAUUAAUUUCCAAUUCUUAAGGAAAGAAUCAAGAUAUUAUUCAACUUCCUUUCCUUAAGGAGAUUCAAUUCUAUCACAUUAUGAUAUCCACCAUAAUGAGGGAUUCUAUUCUAAUUCUAGGACGAGCAUGAAGAAGAAUGUUUGAUCACUAUAAAUACAAGGAUAUACCCUGGUUCACAGGUACACAAUAUCACAUUAUUUUUAACACUAAAGCUUUAAGUUAAGCUUAUUCAACUUGUACUUAUUCUCACACCGGAGUUAUCCUCCGAUGGGCUAAGCCGUCAAGUUUCUCUGUGUGACUUUGUUUAGACAAAUUAUAUGUGAAUUUGUAUGUGAUACUUGUUGGAAUAAAGCAAGUUAAGUUUCUCUAUUUGAUUUUUCAAUCCAAAGAUCUUUCUAACAAUAAAUUUUUUCUCAAGGUUAUUUAUACUCUUCCAUUUCGAGAUAAGUGGAUUUAUCUUAGUUAAGCCACCUUCAAGAGAGUAUUUAAUCUUUCGCCAUCGAAAAAUAACUUAAACAAGAACACAAGUCAAACACUUAAGGUUAGCUUCACGAGGCACGUCCUGAAUCUGAUCUUUGAUUAUCAAGUGAUUAAGAAUUAGCUUUUAUCCCCAACUUGAUUUGUAUUCAAAGUACUCGAUUGUAACAAUAAAUGUUACCUAUGACAAUGGAGUGUAUUUGUAUUUAUGAAAGCUUUUUCUCAAAAACAAGUAAAAAUUGAAAACUCAUAAAGAUUCAAUACCAAAGUAUGAUAUACUUUAUACUAUAAAAAUUAUAACAAUGUAUAAAAAGUAAACAAUUAAAGCAAUACAUAGUGUUAAAGCCAUAAUAAUUCCAUAAUGUCAUCGCCAGAUAAACGUUGCCUGCACAAUGUAACAAAUUGGUGACCUGCACGAUUGUAGCCGCGAGGAGGACCCUCUGGUGUAGGAAUCAGUACAUGUAUUUUUAAAGGCAUUAAUAAUAUGCGAGGGACAUUAUAUUCUAGAGAAUGAGAGAGCUCAUGGAGAGCCUCCUAUUUUAGCCUUACCUUUAUUCCAUACAUAGAGGGAGAGAAGGCCACUUGGGCUUCGUUAACUAUGUUGGCCUUUUUCGUUGGGCCUAAAUACUUGUGCCUUAUGUAUUGGGCUUUGUUAAUAAUAUUCUAUAUUCUAUCAUUGUGAUGCCCCCAAAUCUGAGUAUUCACUACAAUAGAUUUGGUGCUCACUAUUUAUCUCAUCACACACAACUAACUAAAUAAUACAAACUAAUUCAUAUUAUUAUAUCAUUGACAUACUACAAUGAUGCAUUACCCCAUAAUUUACUUGUAACUCAUUUACAUACAAAUCAUACCAAAAUAUGACAUUUUUUUGUUAAUUAUUAAUAUAUUACUACUUUUCUAAUUCUCCUCUAAAACUUUACCCUUUCCCUCAUCUUUAGUGUUUGACCCUUUAGGUCCUUCUACUUUAACUGCAAAUAUAAUUUUCAGGGGAGUGAGCAACAAAUUUGGUCAACAAGUAGAAAGUUCAAUGAACAAUAAUAUCAAAGAAAAAAUGAAUAAUUAUCAAAAAUAAUCAUUAGACUUUAUGAAUUAGCAUGAAUAAAUAGCAAAUAAAAGGAUUUCUUUAAUCUUAAAUCUUUUCAACAUCACACUGGGCGGUCGUAAGGAUCAUGAACUCUUACCACUUUCAACAAUUAUAAACUACAAACUCUUUCAAUGUUUAACAGUCACACAGACUAAAAAACUCUUCACUGGUACUUUAGGGGAUUAACCCAUCGUAGCACAAGUUAUGCAUAACCAUUCUUUCACGCUUAAAGUUUCAAGUCAGUUACUCGACAUAAAUAUCCCCUUUAUUAGGGUUAUUCAUAAUCAAUCUUAGUCUCAGAAUCCACACCAAAGCAAUUUAGAUUGGAUCUAAUUACUUCCAAAGGAAAUAUCAACAAUUCAAUUAUCACAUCAAUUUUGUCUAGUCGGAACAAAUGACAUAGACUCGUAGUUUAAAACAAUUCAUGAAAAAAAUUAUAAUUUAAUAAAGAAGAGUUCAUAAAUACAUAUAAGUGAUGAAACAUAUAACUCAUGAAAUCUCAUAUGACAAGGAACUUGCACCGAGUAAUAAAUUUGCACAAGCUAAAGAGAUUGGCAUAUAAGCUUAAAAUUGGAAUAAGAUAGGAAACUAGCAAUAAAUUGAGGAACUUGCGAUAGGUUUGGGAAUUUACCUGAUUCACGAGUACUUUCCUUAUUUAACUCCCUUUUUGUCUUCAAAUUUUCACCUACAUCAUCCAUAAUAAUUUACUUAAUUAAAUCCUUUAUUACUUUUAAUAGUUGUAGACACUCGAAAUUUUGUUUUCCUGUUACUAACUAUGCAAGA
rnacentral:lncRNA from 1 species